GCCCUUGUGGUGGAAUGGUAGACGCGGCGGACUCAAAAUCCGCUCUCGAAAGAGGUGGGGGUUCAAGUCCCUCCAAGGGCACCA
rnacentral:tRNA from 3 species